ACCAUCCUUUUUUGGGGUAGCGCUACUGUCUGAACGAAUAGUGAGGACAGGUACUGGCUAACGCCUACACAACACACCCGCAUCAACUAGAGCUUUGCUUUACUUUGGUGCAAUUUUUGGAAAA
rnacentral:ncRNA from 1 species